GAUGAACGCUGGCGGCGUGCCUAAUACAUGCAAGUCGAGCGAACAGACGAGGCGCUUGCGCCUCGCACGUUAGCGGCGGGCGGGAGAGUAACACGUGUAUAAUCUACCUGUAUGACUGGGAUCACUUCGGGACUCCGGAGCUUAUACCGGAUAAUAUAUUGAACCGCAUGGUUCAUUAGUGAAAUACGGUUUUGCGGGCACUUAUAGAUGGAUCCGCGCCGUAUUAGCUAGUUGGUAAGGUAACGGCUUACCAAGGCCACGAUGCGUAGCCGAGCGGAGAGGGUGAUCGACAGCACUGGAAGUGGAACACGGACCUGACUCCUACGGUAGGCAGCAGACGGCAAACUGCCGCAAUAGUCGAAAGGCUUCCGGAACAGCGGGGAGUCAGUUAUGGAGGUGUUCGGAUCGUAAUACCCGGUUAUGAGGCAAGAACAAAUGUGUAAGUUACGGUAGACGUCGUGACGGUACUUGAUCAGAAAGCCACGGCUAACUACGUG
rnacentral:rRNA from 1 species